rnacentral:rRNA from 2 species
UGCGCAUGGACGAAAGUCUGACGGAGCAACGCCGCGUGAGUGAUGAAGGCUUUCGGGUCGUAAAACUCUGUUGUUAGGGAAGAACAAGUGCUAGUUGAAUAAGCUGGCACCUUGACGGUACCUAACCAGAAAGCCACGGCUAACUACGUGCCAGCAGCCGCGGUAAUACGUAGGUGGCAAGCGUUAUCCGGAAUUAUUGGGCGUAAAGCGCGCGCAGGUGGUUUCUUAAGUCUGAUGUGAAAGCCCACGGCUCACCCGUGGAGGGUCAUUGGAAACUGGGAGACUUGAGUGCAAAAAAGGAAAGUGGAAUUCCAUGUGUAGCGGUGAAAUGCGUAGAG